rnacentral:rRNA from 1 species
GACAGAGGUGCCGAGCGUUAGGCGGAAUCACUGGGCUUAAAGCGUGUGUAGGCGGGCCGUUAAGUAUCUUGUGAAAUCCCCCGGCUCAACCGGGGAAUGGCUGGAUAUACUGGCGGUCUUGAGCGAUCUAGGGGCAGAUGGAACAGACGGUGGAGCGGUGAAAUGCGUAGAUAUCGUCUGGAACGCCAAAGGUGAAGACAGUCUGCUGGGGAUCUGCUGACGCUGAGGGACGAAAGCUAGGGGAGCAAACAGG